rnacentral:rRNA from 1 species
GUCUAGGGCCAUACCGCCCUUGAGGCGCCCGUCUCCUCUGAUCUUGGAAGCUAAGCACGGUCGGGCAUGGUUAGUACUUGGAUGGGAGACCACCGGGAAUACCAGGUGCCGUAGGUU